rnacentral:rRNA from 1 species
AGAGUUUGAUCAUGGCUCAGGAUGAACGCUGGCGGCGUGCCUAACACAUGCAAGUCGAGCGAGAAGCUUGCUUUUGACGCUUCGGUUGAAAAAGCAAGUGGAAAGCGGCGGACGGGUGAGUAACGCGUAGGCAACCUGCCCUUUGCAGAGGGAUAGCCUCGGGAAACCGGGAUUAAAACCUCAUAAUGCUGAAGGAAGACAUCUUUUUUCAGCCAAAGAUUUAUCGGCAAAGGAUGGGCCUGCGUCUGAUUAGUUAGUUGGUGGGGUAACGGCCUACCAAGGCGACGAUCAGUAGCCGACCUGAGAGGGUGAUCGGCCACAUUGGAACUGAGACACGGUCCAA